rnacentral:rRNA from 1 species
GAUGAACGCUAGCGGGAGGCCUAACACAUGCAAGCCGAGCGGUAUUUCUUCUUCGGAAGAGAGAGAGCGGCGUACGGGUGCGGAACACGUGUGCAACCUGCCUUUAUCUAGAGGAUAGCCUUUCGAAAGGAAGAUUAAUACUCUAUAAUAUAUUAAUUGGCAUCAAUUGAUAUUGAAAACUCCGGUGGAUAGAGAUGGGCACGCGCAAGAUUAGCUAGUUGGUGAGGUAACGGCUCACCAAGGCAAUGAUCUUUAGGGGGCCUGAGAGGGUGAUACCCCACACUGGUACUGAGACACGGACCAGACUCCUACGGGAGGCAGCAGUGAGGAAGAUUGGUCAAUGGGUGCAAGCCUGAACCAGCCAUCCCGCGUGAAGGAUUAAGGUCCUAUGGAUUGUAAACUUCUUUUGUAUAGGGAUAAACCUACCCUCGUGAGGGUAGCUGAAGGUACUAUACGAAUAAGCACCGGCUAACUCCGUGCCAGCCGCCGCUGUAAAAC